GGGGGUGUGAGACAACGGGGAGGCUACUGCAGAAGCCCAGGAACGGUGGAGGCUUGGACCCAAGUGGGAGUGAGGAAGAUGGCAAGGAGCGGUUGAAUUAUGGAAAUAAAUGUGAGGGGAGUGGCUCUGAUGACAAGACGAAGGCACAAGAACUGGGAAAAACACACAACAACAAAUGAGAUACAAAGAAAAUAUUUUUCUGUGCACAUCAAGUUGUGUCGUGAACAUAUUUAAGCCUGCCACCCUAUGCUUCAAGAAAAGAAAAUCAACCUUUGCUGUUUCGUGCACACUGAUAGUAUGUUCUCCUCCUCCUCCUCCUCCAUAUCAGUGACAACAGAAAGCAGGAACGCUCACUGUGGUGGGCUGAAACGUGUCCCCACAAAUUCAUAUGCUGAAGCCCUAGCUCUCAUUUCCUCUGCGUGACUGUAUCUGGAGAGAGGGCCUCUAAAGAGGUGAUUAAGUUCAUAGGAGGUGGCGGGGUGGGCCCUCAUCCCAUCUGACUGGUGUCCUUAUAAGAUAAAAUUUGGCCACACCAAGAAACGCCAGGGAUGCACACACAGCAGAAAGACCGUGUGAGGACACAUCAAGGAGGCGGCCGUCUGCAAGUCAAGGAGAGAACACUCCGUAGAAACCAAACCAGCCAACCCUUGGUCAUCGACUUCCAGCCUCCAGAAUUGUGAAAAAUUCUGUGUUUAAGCCAUUCUGUCUGUGGUCUUUUGUUACAGCAGCCUUGGCAAGCUCAUAAACUCUCCUUUCUUUGUUUUUGCCUGGA